rnacentral:rRNA from 1 species
AGAGAGAGACAUGCGCGCAUAUCAAUAAGCGGAGGAAAAGAAACUAACAAGGAUUCCCUUAGUAACGGCGAGUGAAGCGGGAAGAGCUCAAAUUUGAAAUCUUCAAGGUUCUACCUUGACGAAUUGUAGUUUAUAGAAGUGUUUUCUGUUAGUGGAGUGGCAAAAGUUCUUUGGAAUAGGACAUCAUAGAGGGUGAGAAUCCCGUAUUUGGUCAUUCCUCCUAGCGUUGUGAUACACUUUCAACGAGUCGGAUUGUUUGGGAAUGCAGUCCAAAAUGGGUGGUAAAUUUCAUCUAAAGCUAAAUAUUGGCGAGAGCCGAUAGCGAACAAGUACCGUGAGGGAAAGAUGAAAAGAACUUUGAAAAGAGAGUUAAACAGUACGUGAAAUUGUCAAAAGGGAAGCGUUUGACACCAGUGUUGUUUUUCCGAAAAUCAAUUACGAAUGUUUUGUUUUUGAGGAGUUAUGACUUCAUCGGCUUGCUCCUUUCUUUACGAAACUUUCUUAAUGCACUUUUCGGUUAACAAGUCAACAUCAAUUUCUUUUGUUGUAAAAGGGUAUGAGGGAAGGUGGCUUUCUUUUCGGAGAAAGUGUUUAUAGCCUUGUGCCUCUGCAAUCGGAAAGAUUGAGGUCUGCAGCGUAGAUCCUUCGGGGUUAGAUACGUUUGUGCUAAGUUAUAGCUUUUCAUAGACAACUUGUUGACUAUGUUUAGUCUUGUAGCUUACUCGCUGACGCUAUUUUACCUACGCUUAGGAUGUUGAUAGUCACAGCGUGUAC